UUUCAAGUCAGGAGUGAAAGGCUACGGCUCAACCGUAGUAAGCUCUUGAAACUGGGAGACUUGAGUGCAGGAGAGGAGAGUGGAAUUCCUAGUGUAGCGGUGAAAUGCGAAGAUAUUAGGAGGAACACCAGUUGCGAAGGCGGCUAUCUGGAGUGUAACUGACGGUGAGGCAAGAAAGCGUGGGGAGCAACCAGGACUAGAUACCGUGGAAGUCCACGCUGUAACCGAUG
rnacentral:rRNA from 1 species